UACGAGUGCUCCAAGCGUUAUCCGGAAUCAUUGGGCGUAAAGGGUGUGUAGGCGGUCAUGUUAGUCUUCUGUCAAAUUCUUCGGCUUAACCGGGGGCAUGCGGAGGAAACGGCAUGACUAGAGGAUGCGAGAGGUGAAUGGAACUCAUGGAGUAGGGGUGAAAUCCGUUGAUAUCAUGGGGAACACCAAAAGCGAAGGCAAUUCACUGGCGCACUCCUGACGCUGAGACACGAAAGCGUAGGUAGCGAAUGGG
rnacentral:rRNA from 1 species